rfam:Xenorhabdus doucetiae str. FRM16 chromosome, complete genome.
AAACGAGAUGACUGGCUCCCUAACAUGGUGAAUGCUUUGGGAGCCAGUGCAAACGCAACAGUUUUGUAAGGCAUACCACAAGUUGCCCCACAGGUCUGUUGCGUGUGCUUUUAUUUGAUGAAUUCUAACUGAAUUGGUAGCACAUGAACGCCAUAAUAACGAACCGGUUACAACAUAAGCUAGGAUAUACCUUUAAAC